rnacentral:rRNA from 1 species
CAGCAGUAGCCGCGGGAACACGAAGGGUGCAAGCGUUAAUCGGAAUUACUGGGUGUAAAGCGUGUGUAGGCGGUUUGUUAAGUCUGUUGUGAAAUCCCCGGGCUCAACCUGGGAAUGGCAAUGGAUACUGGCAAGCUAGAGUGUGUCAGAGGAUGGUGGAAUUCCCGGUGUAGCGGUGAAAUGCGUAGAGAUCGGGAGGAACAUCAGUGGCGAAGGCGGCCAUCUGGGACAACACUGACGCUGAGGCACGAAAGCGUGGGGAGCAAACAGGAUUAGAUACCCGUGUAGUCCCUGUCUCUUAUAC